GUGCUUAACACAUGCGAGUCGAACGCGAAAGGGACUUCGGUCCCGAGUAGAGUGGCGCACGGGUGAGUAACGCGUAAGUAAUCUACCCCUGUAUCUGGAAUAACCCACCGAAAGGUGAGCUAAUACCGGAUACGUUUAUCUUGAUGCGAAUGAUGAUAAAGAAAGGUGGCCUCUUCAUGAAAGCUACCGUACAGGGACGAGCUUGCGUACCAUUAGCUGGUUGGUAGGGUAAUGGCCUACCAAGGCGACGAUGGUUAGCGGGUCUGAGAGGAUGAUCCGCCACACUGGAACUGAAACACGGACCAGACUCCUACGGGAGGCAGCAGUGAGGAAUAUUGCGCAAUGGGGGCAACCCUGACGCAGCGACGCCGCGUGGACGAUGAAGGCCCUUGGGUCGUAAAAUCCUGUCAGAUGGAAAGAAAUGUACAGGUGUUAAUAUCGCCUGUAUUUGACGGUACCAUCAAAGGAAGCACCGGCUAACUCCGUGCCAGCAGCCGCGGUAAUACGGAGGGUGCGAGCGUUGUUCGGAAUUACUGGGCGUAAAGCGCGCGUAG
rnacentral:rRNA from 1 species